AUGGCCUUGAAAAGUAUUAAAAUUGAUUGUUUCCGCCCUACAAUUUUAAGAAAGGAAGCGUUCCCUGGCCAUGGUGUGCGGGCCCACAAUUACAGGUAGUGGGAUGCCUGAAGUGGUUAUUAUCGCGUCCACCUGUCAUAAGACGGGCGGAAUCCAUAAAAUGCUUUCCAAGGCCUUU
rnacentral:other from 1 species